rnacentral:rRNA from 1 species
CGUAGGGUGCGAGCGUUAAUCGGAAUUACUGGGCGUAAAGCGUGCGCAGGCGGUUUGUUAAGAUAGGCGUGAAAUCCCCGGGCUCAACCUGGGAACUGCGCUUAUGACUGGCAAGCUAGAGUACGGCAGAGGGGGGUGGAAUUCCACGUGUAGCAGUGAGAUGCGUAGAGAUGUGGAGGAACACCAAUGGCGAAGGCAGCCCCCUGGGUCGAUACUGACGCUCAUGCACGAAAGCGUGGGUAGCAAACAGGAUUAGAUACCCUGGUAGUCCACGCCCUAAACGAUGUCAACUAGGUGUUGGAUGGGUAAAACCAUUUAGUACCGGAGCUAACGCGUGAAGUUGACCGCCUGGGGAGUACGGCCGCAAGGUUA